GCCCCCGUAGCCCAAUUGGCAGAGGCAGCGGACUUAAAAUCCGCGAGUUGCGAGUUCGAGUCUCGCCGGGGGCACCG
rnacentral:tRNA from 1 species